AUGCUUGUGACGACAUCGACCUCCUCCUUCUUACUUAAUGGUGCGGCGGGGAAGAAAAUUCUGCACUGCCGGGGACUCGGACAGGGCCCCCUGUCCCCGCUCCUCUUCAUCAUCGCCAUAGACCCGCUACACCGGCUUCUCCAGCGUGCCAUGGAGCUUGGCCAGCUCGACCCGAUCCCAGGCAGAGACCUCGCGUUGCGUGUAAGUCUAUACGCAGACGACGUUAUCAUCUUUGCCAACCCAGUGAAGGAGGAGAUUGACACCUUGAUGAGCAUCAUCCAUGACUUCGGGCUAGCGUCAGGGCUGAAAGUAAACUUGCAGAAAUCUUCGGUUGCUGCUAUUAGAUGUGAUCAAAUUAACUUGCAACAGGUUCUCCAGAGCUUUGGAGGGCAACAAGCUCAGUUCCCCCUACGAUACCUUGGGCUCCCAGUCACUAUCUCCAGGCUACGCAUAGUGCACUUGCAAUUCAUCCUUGACCGAAUCAGAGCUCGUCUGGGCUGGAAAGGACGGCUCCUAACCAUUGCGGGACGGCGAGUCCUCGUCAGAAGUGUUCUGUCAGCGCUCUCCACUUUUGCCUUAACUGUACUGAAGGUACCAAAGAAACUGCUAGCCGAGGUAGACAAGAUCCGAAGACGUCUCCUCUGGGCCCAAGACGAAGACGAAGCGAUCAGUGGCGGGAAAUGCAAAGUGAGCUGGCCGGAGGUAUGCACUCCGAUUGACAACGGCGGCCUUGGCAUCUCCAACUUACAACGCUUCAGCCGUGCACUCAGGCUCAGAUGGCUGUGGCUCUCUUGGCUCACACCCAACAGGCCCUGGGUGGGCAUGCAACUGCCCUGCGAUCAAGGAGACAGAGAGCUCUUCAACGCCUCAACCACGGUGACACUAGGUGAUGGGAAGACGGCCAGUUUCUGGGACAGCUCCUGGGCUGGUGCAGGCACGCUCAAAAUGGAAUUCCCUGAACUACACAAGCACUCAAAAAGGAAGAACAGAACAGUUCAUGCGGCACUACACGAUGACACCUGGGUUACAGAUCUAGCCCACGGGCAAACACAGCAGCUUUGGCCGGAGGUGAUCCGCCUGAACAGAUGGCUCAUCUCGAAGAACAUAAGCCUAAGCGACCAGGAGCAAGACACAAUUAAGUGGAAGCACACGGCCUCAGGAUCCUUCUCCACCAGCUCGGCAUACAACUGCCAAUUCCAAAGGGAUGCUCAAGACUAA
rnacentral:rRNA from 1 species